AGGGAUGUAGCUCAGCAGUACAGCAUCUGCUUUGAAUGCAGAAAGUCCCAGGUUCAAGUCCCGGCAUCUCCA